rnacentral:misc_RNA from 1 species
AUAAAACGUUGGUUGACCGAUGGAUGCUGCUGAAGAUGCAGGAUGCUGAGCGCCUUAACGAGGCUAAUGCUCUCUAUGGAGACAUGCUUGAUAAGGUCAAGGCCGCCAGUAUAGAAAAACUUGCUCGUCAACAAGUGGACGGCGUGGUCCGCCAAAGUGAAGAUGGUGCAGAAUUUUACGUAGAAUCUUCCAUCCCUAGUACAUGCAAGCAAAGGAUCCCCGCCCAUGAUGGUGGUUGUGCCUCGAUUGUUUUUGAGUAUAACUCAAGUAAAUUGAUAAGCGGAGGUCAGGAUCGAGCAAUUAAAAUGUGGGAUACCACAAGCGGAUCAUUAACCAACAGUCUUUAUGGUUGUCUGGGUUCUGUUCUUGAUCUUUCCGUUACACAUGAUAACAAAUUCAUCAUAGCAGCAAGUAGUUCAAAUAAUUUGUAUGUGUGGGAUGCAAAUUCAGGCAGGAUACGGCACACUCUUACUGGGCACAUGGACAAGGUUUGUGCAGUUGAUGUAAGCAAAUUUUCAAGUCGCCAUGUGGUGAGUGCUGCAUAUGAUCGCACAAUAAAAGUUUGGGAUCUGCAGAAGGGUUACUGUAACAACACUAUCAUAUUUCACAGUAACUGUAACAGUCUUGCGUUUAGCAUGGAUGCCCUGACUAUCUGUUCUGGUCAUGUUGAUGGUAAUCUUAGAUUAUGGGAUGUUCAAACAGGCAAGCUUCUGAGUGAAGUUGCUGCACAUUCACAGGCUGUUACAUCAGUUUCACUCUCUCGGAAUGGAAACAUGAUAUUAACCAGUGGGAGAGACAACUUGCACAAUCUAUUCGAUAUACGCACCCUUGAAAUUUGUGGCACUUUCAGAUCAAAUGCAAAUCGAGUUGCAUCUAAUUGGAGCCGAUCCUGUAUUAGUGCCGAUGACGGUUAUGUUACUGCAGGUUCUGUUGAUGGAUCUGUUCAUAUUUGGUCAGUAUCAAACGGUAAAAUGGUAAGCACAUUGAAAGAACACACAUCCUCUGUACUUUGUUGUUCAUGGAGUGGUCUUGGUAAUCCUUUGGCCACCUCAGAUAAGAGUGGAACCGUAUGUAUUUGGUCAUGAUAUCAGUUCAAAGAUUGCUCUGUAAUUCAGAUUUCAGUGAGGAUCAUGAGUGUCAUUGUUGAUUUUAGUUUGCUUAAAGCAUAAAGUUGGUCAUCAUAUUG